CUAUGGGUGUCGGUGCGGAUGUUCAGUUAUGAACUCAGGCUAGGUUUUCUCCAGUAGCAACAAGGCCGGCAAGCCUGUGUCCCGCGGGCUGGCCCUCCAGGUGACUUUCCCACGAGAUGCUGCUCUCCAUAGGGAUGCUUAUGCUUUCGGCUACACAAGUCUACACCAUCUUGACUGUCCAGCUCUUUGCAUUCUUAAACUUACUACCUGUAGGAGCUGAUAUUUUAGCGUAUAAUUUUGAAAAUGCAUCUCAGACAUUUGAUGAUCUUCCAGCAAAAUUUGGUUAUAGACCUCCAGCUGAAGGUUUAAAGGGUUUUUUGAUUAAUUCAAAACCAGAGAAUGCUUGUGAACCCAUAAUGCCUCCACCAGUAAAAGACAACUCAUCUGCCACUUUCAUCGUGUUAAUUAGAAGACUUGAUUGUAAUUUUGAUAUAAAGGUUUUAAAUGCACAGCAAGCUGGAUACAAAGCAGCCAUUGUUCACAAUGUUGACUCUGAAGACCUCAUUAGCAUGGGAUCCAACGACAUUGAUGUGUUAAAGAAAAUUGACAUUCCCUCUGUCUUCAUUGGUGAAUCAUCAGCUAAUUCCCUGAAAGAUGAAUUCACUUAUGAAAAGGGAGGCCACAUCAUCUUAGUUCCAGAAUUUAGUCUUCCUCUAGAAUACUAUCUAAUCCCCUUCCUCAUUAUUGUGGGCAUCUGUCUCAUCCUGAUAGUCAUUUUUAUGAUCACAAAAUUUGUCCAGGACAGACACAGAGCUAGAAGAAAUAGACUUGGGAAAGAUCAACUUAAGAAACUCCCUGUACAUAAAUUCAAGAAAGGAGAUGAGUAUGAUGUAUGUGCCAUUUGUUUGGAUGAAUAUGAAGAUGGAGAAAAACUCAGAAUCCUUCCCUGUUCCCAUGCUUAUCACUGCAAGUGUGUAGACCCCUGGCUAACUAAAACCAAGAAAACCUGUCCAGUCUGCAAGCAAAAAGUUGUUCCUUCUCAAGGUGAUUCUGACUCUGACACAGACAGUAGUCAAAAAGAAAACGAAGUGUCAGAACACACCCCUCUGCAUAGACCUUUGGCUUCUGUCAGUACCCAGUCGUUUGGGGCUUUGUCAGAGUCGCACUCACAUCAGAACAUGACAGAGUCUUCAGACAUUGAGGAUGAUGACAACGAAGACACUGACAGCAGUGAGGGAGAGAACGAAGUGAAUGAACACAGUGUGGUGGUCCAGCUGCAGCCUGGUGGUGAGCGGGACUGCAGCCUAGCGAACACCGUGUGACUUUCAUAAGGUGAUGGGUUUACUUCCCUUGAAAACAUUGAUUUAGGUACAUAAUUUGAUUUUUUGCUCCUUUUAGAGACUUCUGUAGAAAUAACUUAUUU